UCCGGCGUUGCUCCGGUGACUUAGGUGAGUCCCUCCACUCCUCAUCGUCACAUUCCUCUGUCUCUUCCUCACAUCAUGUCGUCUCCCUGGCAGAUCUAGCGCACCGUAGCCGCUCGAGCACCGGAACGCCAUGGAUGGGAAGGCUUCUUCCUCCCCUGUCCCGAUGCCAUGAACGACGCAGCUCCACCACCAGACCAUGGAGACGGAGCUCCUUCUCCCGCAUCACUCAUGGAGCCUCCCUCUCAGCGCCCGGAGCCCUAGAGAGUAUGAAUCGCUCCUCCCGCUGUCUCCUUCUACGACUUCUCUUCUUCUCCUCUUGAUGCGUUCUCGUAUUGUAUCGAGGAAAGGAAUUCAAGGCCAUGGCCGGAGAGAGGAGCUGCUCCUAGUACAGGACGCCAUGGAAGGUUCUCCUUUCUUGUUCUGCCUUUUUAAUUUUUCUGUUUCUCUUCCGGAUCUAGACAAGUUGAAGGCUCUGUUUUGUGCAGGUGCUGCUCUGAUGAGGAGAAACUGCUGCUGUAGAACGUCCUCCUCCCAUCCCCUACCCCCACACGUGGUGAGCUCCUAUGCAUAUGUGGAUAAUCAGGAACUAAUGUUUAAUUGAUUACUUCAUAAUCUGUUCCACUGUAUGCAUGAACGCUCACACAUUUUUUCCUGCCAUUUAUGUACAUUACUAUUGGACAGUGAGAAGAUUUCCAUUGUGUGCAUGAACAUGCUUUUUUUUCGUCAAUCCAUCUCUUAUCAUGCAUACAUCCUAUCAUAUAUUAUAUGAUAAAUCUUUUAGUUGCUCACUGUCUAUAUAGGUGCUCAAAUUUUUAGAUUCCAUAGAACUUCUGUUUGUAGUGAAAAGGGGGUAUAUGCAACUUUUAAUCAAUGUCUAUUUAAAUCAAUAGAAUAAAUAUUGAGUAUAUGUGUUCAGUGGUGCACCAUGUCGAAUUACUUUUCCGUUUAGAAAAGUAAUUACUUCUGUAUGUUGUGAUGCAUCCCAUAGUAGUUUGCACCCAGGAACCAACCAAGGGCUGAUGCAAUAUAUGUUACCAUGUAUAUACCGCCCUUGCUGUUUAAAAAAAUAGACAUUGAGGAUACCUUUUUUUCCCUACACCCUGCUGUGGGAUUCUUAAUAGCCUUACCUGCAUAUGAACAAACUGCAAGAGACAGAUACAAUUCCUAACAUGUGAAAGGCUGUUUUAUGACUUAUCCAUCUCGCGACCACCUUCUAUAUCUACAGGAAUCUAUCACUUCUUUCUACUUACAUGGCAGAUAUAUCUACAAGUGAAUCUACAUGUUUUUUGUAGUUCAAAUGGAGUAUCCUAUAUCAUUUUUAUUAUUAUGCAGAACUGUUUGUUCACUCACAUCAGCCCUUUGCUAUAGCUGUUGUGGAGCAAAUUAGAUGGGCGAACCAAUAGAUAAUUAGGUAGAUGUAGUUGGCCGGCAAUGGUUCAUAGGGAUAUUCCUUAUAUUUACUUGAUAUUUGAUCUUAAUAUUCACUGGACACAAUUCUCUCAUGGUUGCAAUAUUUUUUUCCUAAGUUCACUCCAAUUGUGUUGGCAUUCAUGCUUGAUUUCUUUUAAUCAGCUUACUAAUCAUACCGAGAAAAUAAAUAUAACUACUUGAGAAUAAAGGGAAAAGGAGAAUAAAGGAUGGUUGUGGUAGCGGAAUGGUAUUUUUGCUUAGGCGCAAUCAUACUUAUGUAGUAGUAAAUAACCUGUCAUGUCAUUCUUCAAGUCUGCACAUAGCGCUGUUAUUUUAGGAGCAGAUUUCUCAUCCUUCAGAAACCUGAACUUGCUUAAUAGCCAAUUUAGCAGAGUAUUACCAGUUCCUUGAUGUCAUUUCUGGUAUGCAAUCAUAUGACAUGUCUCGUGUAAAUAAAUAUGGGUUGUUGUCAAUUUUUUAAUCUACAAUUGAUCUAUUGUUUUUUACAUGGUAGCUUAAUAUCCUCCUUCCUUUUCUAAUAUGCAAACUUCAAAUAUGUGAGGUGCAUAAGUGCAUGAGGUGCGGUUCACCUUAGGCUGCUCCCGCUCGUCAGCGGUCUGGUCGAGCGUCACUUAACCAUUGUGACCUGGCUGGUUUGGAGUGGGAGGCCGACAUGCUCAUGAACAUCAAGACCGGAUCAAGUACGCUGGUGCACCGCGGUGUGCGGCGGCCUAUUUUCUUGUAGUGGUAUUGUAUAUGGUCUCAUCCAGCACUGAGUAUCCAUAUGUUGUUCUAAUCCUGAUGAUGAUGUUGUAGCAUAAAGUGGACACCAUAUUCAAUUUGUCUUGAUGCUUUAUCUCUUGUGGUUCUUGUCUGAUGCACAUUGUUCUUUGCAGGGUUAUGAUGAUAUUUCCACGGAAAUAUACUGACCCUGAUGCGACAAAGGUGUCCAUUUUCCCUUUUUUAAACUUUUUUACUCUGUUUUUUGUUCUUCCUGUAGUUCCAGUUUCACAUUGCUGGUGUUUCAUGCAAUAUUCAUCGGAUCCUGCUUACAUGCCUUAUUAUUGAGUAACUUGAUUAGUAUUUCUGCCACUGUCCUAUCUCAGUAAACUGUUUGUUUUUUCAGUAGCUAAAAAAGAAAGUAAAUCUAUUAUAUCCUGGUAUUGUAGAAUUUCAGUCUCACAGAAGUUACUCUGUGUCCUGCUUUAGCUUGCAAACCUGAUGUCUGCUGUCUGUUCUCAUUUCUUAACUUUGAAAUGUUUCAAACUUAAGAGUGCCCUGCUACCUCUUGAGCACUGCGUUGGUUUUCCCUUGAAGAGGAAAGGGUGAUGCAGCAAAGUAGUGUAAGUAUUUCCCUCAGUUUUUGAGAACCAAGGUAUCAAUCCGGUAGGAGGCUACGCGCGAGUCCCUCGCACCUACACAAAACAAAUAAAUCCUCGCAACCAACGCGAUAAGGGGUUGUCAAUCCCUACACGGUCACUUACGAGAGUGAGAUCUGAUAGAUAUGAUAGGAUAAUAUUUUUGGUAUUUUUAUGAUAAAGAUGCAAAGUAAAAUAAAAGCAAAGUAAAAAGCAACGGAAAUAACUAAGUGUUGGAAGAUUAAUAUGAUGAAGAUAGACCCGGGGGCCAUAGGUUUCACUAGUGGCUUCUCUCAAGAGCAUAAAUAUUUUACGGUGGGUGAACAAAUUACUGUUGAGCAAUUGACAGAAUUGAGCAUAGUUAUGAGAAUAUCUAGGUAUGAUCAUGUAUAUAGGCAUCACGUCCGAGACAAGUAGACCGACUCCUGCCUGCAUCUACUAAUAUUACUCCACACAUCGACCGCUAUCCCGCAUGCAUCUAGAGUAUUAAGUUCAUAAGAACAGAGUAACACCUUAAGCAAGAUGACAUGAUGUAGAGGGAUAAAUUCAUGCAAUAUGAUAAAAACCCCAUCUUGUUAUCCUCGAUGGCAACAAUACAAUACGUGCCUUGCUGCCCCUACUGUCACUGGGAAAGGACACCGCAAGAUUGAACCCAAAGCUAAGCACUUCUCCCAUUGCAAGAAAGAUCAAUCUAGUAGGCCAAACCAAACUGAUAAUUUGAAGAGACUUGCAAAGAUAACCAAUCAUACAUAAAAGAAUUCAGAAGAUUCAAAUAUUGUUCAUAGAUAAACUUGAUCAUAAACCCACAAUUCAUCGGUCUCAACAAACACACCGCAAAAGAAGAUUACAUCGAAUAGAUCUCCACAAGAGAGGGGGAGAACAUUGUAUUGAGAUCCAAAAAGAGAGAGGAAGCCAUCUAGCUAAUAACUAUNNNNNNNNNNNNNNNNNNNNNNNNNNNNNNNNNNNNNNNNNNNNNNNNNNNNNNNNNNNNNNNNNNNNNNNNNNNNNNNNNNNNNNNNNNNNNNNNNNNNNNNNNNNNNNNNNNNNNNNNNNNNNNCCCCCUACCUCGUGGCUUCCUGCUUUGUUUCUUGACGUAGGGUCCAAGUCUCCUGGAUCAUGUUCGUUCCGAAAAUCACGUUCCCGAAGGUUUCAUUCCGUUUGGACUCCGUUUGAUAUUCUUUUUCUGCGAAACUCUGAAAUUGGCAAAAAAGAACAAUUCUGGGCUGGGCCUCCGGUUAAUAGGUUAGUCCCAAAAAUAAUAUAAAAGUGAAUAAUAAAGCCUAAUAAUGUCCAAAACAGAAGAUAAUAUAGCAUGGAGCAAUCAAAAAUUAUAGAUACGUUGGAGAGUUCUGCUAGAACAUUAAGUUGUUGGAAAUAUGCCCUAGAGGCAAUAAUAAAAUGGUUAUUAUUAUAUUUCCUUGUUCAUGAUAAUUGUCUAUUUUUCAUGCUAUAAUUGUGUUAUCCGGAAAUCGUAAUACAUGUGUGAACACAUAGACCAUAACAUGUCCCUAGUGAGCCUCUAGUUGACUAGCUCGUUGAUCAAUAGAUGGUUACGGUUUCCUGACCAUGGACAUUGGAUGUCAUUGAUAACGGGAUCACAUCAUUAGGAGAAUGAUGUGAUGGACAAGACCCAAUCCUAAGCAUAGCACUAGAUCGUGUAGUUCAUUUGCUAAAGCUUUCGUCAAGUAUCAUUUCCUUAGACCAUGAGAUCGUGCAACUCCGGGAUACCGUAGGAAUGCUUUGGGUGUACCAAACGUCACAACAUAACUGGGUGGCUAUAAAGGUGCACUACAGGUAUCUCCGAAAGUGUCUGUUGGGUUGGCUCGGAUCGAGACUGGGAUUUAUCAGUCCGUAUGACGGAGAGGUAUCUCUGGGCCCACUCGGUAAUGCAUCAUCAUAAUGAGCUCAAUGUGACUAAGUAGUUAGUCACGGGAUCAUGCAUUACGGAACAAGUAAAGUGACUUGCCGGUAACGAGAUUGAACGGGGUAUUGGGAUACCGACGAUCGAAUCUCGGGCAAGUAACGUAUCGAUUGACAAAGGGAAUUGUAUACGGGAUUGCUUGAAUCCUCGACAUCGUGGUUCAUCCGAUGAGAUCAUCGUGGAACAUGUGGGAUCCAACAUGGGUAUCCAGAUCCCGCUGUUGGUUAUUGGCUAGAGAGGUCUCGGUCAUGUCUGCAUGAUUCCCGAACCUGUAGGGUCUACACACUUAAGGUUCAAUGACGCUAGGGUUAUAAGGAAGGUUUGCAUGUGAUUACCGAAUGUUGUUCGAAGUCCCGGAUGAGAUCCCGGAUGUCACGAGGAGUUCCGGAAUGGUCCGGAGGUGAAGAUUUAUAUAUGGGAAGUCAUCAUACGGUCACCGGAAAUAUUCGGGGGUAUACCGGUAUUGUACCGGGACCACCGGAGGGGUUCCGGGGGUCCACCGGGAGGGUCCACCUGCCCCGGAGGGACUUAUGGGCUGUAGGUGGAAGGGAACCAGCCCUAAGUGGGCUGGGCGCCAACCCCCCUAGGCCCCAUGCGCCUAGGGUUUGGGGGGAACCCUAAAAGGGGGCGCCCCCCCUUGCUUGGGGGGCAAGCUCCCUCCCCCUUGGCCGCCACCCCCCUCUAGAUCUCUUCUAGAGGGGCCGGCCCCCUUCCCCUUCUCCCUAUAAAUAGAGGGGUGAGGGGAGGGCUGCAGCACCACAUCCAAGGCACAGCCCCUCCCCUCCCCAACACCUCUCCUCCUCCGCGUGCGCUUGGCGAAGCCCUGCCGGAGAACUGUCACUCCACCACCACCACGCCGUCGUGCUGCUGUUGGAGCCUUCUUCCUCAACCUCUCCCUCCUCCUUGCUAGAUCAAGGCGCGGGAGACGUCACCGGGCUGCAUGUGUGUUGAACGCGGAGGCACCGUUGUUCGGUGCUUGGAUCGGAUUCUGCCGCGAUCUGAAUCGCUACGUGUACGACUCCCUCAUCCGCGUUCUUGCAACGCUUUCGUCUCGCGAUCUUCAACGGUAUGAAGAUGCACUCUCCUCUCUCUCGUUGCUAGUUACUCCAUAGAUUGAUCUUGGUGAUGCGUAGAAAUUUUUUAAUUUCUGCUACGAUCCCCAACAGUGGCAUCAUGAGCUAGGUCUAUGCGUAGUUUCUAUGCACGAGUAGAACACUAGUUGGUGUGGGCAUCGAUUUUGUCAAUUUACUUGCCAUUACUAGUCUUAUCUUGAUUUGGCGGCAUCGUGGGAUGAAGCGGCCCGGACCGACCUUACACGUACGCUUAUGUGAGACAGGUUCCACCGACUAACAUGCACUAGUUGCAUAAGGUGGCUAGCGGGUGUCUGUCUCUCCCACUUUAGUCGGAUCGGAUUCGAUGAAAAGGGUCCUUAUGAAGGGUAAAUAGAAAUUGGCAUGUCACGUUGUGGUUUUGGCGUAGGUAAGAAACGUUCUUGCUAGAAACCUAUAGCAGCCACGUAAAAGUUUGCAACAACAAUUAGAGGACGUCUAACUUGUUUUUGCAGCAAGUGUCAUGUGAUGUGAUAUGGCCGGAAGAAUGUGAUGAAUGAUAUAUGUGAUGUAUGAGAUUGAUCAUGUUCUUGUAAUAGGAAUCACGACUUGCAUGUCGAUGAGUAUGACAACCGACAGGAGCCAUAGGAGUUGUCUUAAUUUAUUUAUGACCUGCGUGUCAAUUGAAACGUCAUGUAAUUACUUUACUUUAUUGCUAACCGUUAGCCAUAGUAGUAGAAGUAAUAGUUGGCGAGACAACUUCAUGAAGACACGAUGAUGGAGAUCAUGGUGUCAUGCCGGUGACGAUGAUGAACAUGGCGCCCCGAAGAUGGAGAUCAAAAGGAGCAAAAUGAUAUUGGCCAUAAUGUCACUAUUUGAUUGCAUGUGAUGUUUAUCAUGUUUUACAUCUUAUUUGCUUAGAACGACGGUAGCAUAAAUAAGAUGAUCCCUCGCUAAAAUUUCAAGAAAGUGUCCCCCCUAACUGUGCAUCGUUGCGAAGGUUCGUUGUUCCGAAGCACCACGUGAUGAUCGGGUGUGAUAGGUUCUAACGUUCGCAUACAACGGGUGUAAGCCAGAUUUACACACGCAAUACACUUAGGUUGACUUGACGAGCCUAGCAUGUACAGACAUGGCCUCGGAACACAAGAGACCGAAAUGUCGAACAUGAGUCAUAUAGCAGAUACGAUCAACAUGAAGAUGUUCACCAAUGAUGACUAGUCCGUCUCACGUGAUGAUCGGACACGGCCUUGUUGACUCGGAUCAUGUAUCACUUAGAUGACUAGAGGGAUGUCUGUCUGAGUGGGAGUUCAUUAAUAAUUUAAUUAGAUGAACUUAAUUAUCAUGAACUUAGUCUAAAAUCUUUACAAUAUGUCUUGUAGAUCAAAUGGCCCACGCUAAUGUCAACCUCAACUUCAACGCGUUCCUAGAGAAAACCAAGCUGAAAGACGAUUGUAGCAACUAUACGGACUGGGUCCGGAACUUGAGGAUCAUCCUCAUAGCUGCCAAGAAAGCAUAUGUCCUUGAAGCACCGCUAGGUGAAGCACCCAUCCCAGCAAACCAAGACGUUAUGAACGCCUGGCAAACACGUGUUGAUGAUUACUCCCUGGUUCAGUGCGGCAUGCUUUACAGCUUAGAACCGGGGCUCCAAAAGCGUUUCGAGCAGCACGGAGCAUAUGAGAUGUUCCAAGAGCUGAAAAUGGUUUUCCAAGCUCAUGCCCGGGUCGAGAGAUAUGAAGUCUCCGACAAGUUCUACAGUUGUAAGAUGGAGGAUAAUAGUUCCGUCAGCGAACACAUACUCAAAAUGUCUGGGUUGCACAAUCGCUUGUCUCAGCUGGGAGUUAAUCUCCCGGAUGAUCCCGUGACUAACUACUUAGUCACAUUGAGCUCAUUAUGAUGAUGCAUUACCGAGUGGGCCCAGAGAUACCUCUCCGUCAUACGGACUGACAAAUCCCAGUCUCGAUCCGAGCCAACCCAACAGACACUUUUGGAGAUACCUGUAGUGCACCUUUAUAGCCACCCAGUUAUGUUGUGACGUUUGGUACACCCAAAGCAUUCCUACGGUAUCCGGGAGUUGCACGAUCUCAUGGUCUAAGGAAAUGAUACUUGACGAAAGCUUUAGCAAAUGAACUACACGAUCUAGUGCUAUGCUUAGGAUUGGGUCUUGUCCAUCACAUCAUUCUCCUAAUGAUGUGAUCCCGUUAUCAAUGACAUCCAAUGUCCAUGGUUAGGAAACCGUAACCAUCUAUUGAUCAACGAGUUAGUCAACUAGAGGCUCACUAGGGACAUGUUAUGGUCUAUGUGUUCACACAUGUAUUACGAUUUCCGGAUAACACAAUUAUAGCAUGAAAAAUAGACAAUUAUCAUGAACAAGGAAAUAUAAUAAUAACCAUUUUAUUAUUGCCUCUAGGGCAUAUUUCCAACAACUUAAUGUUCUAGCAAAACUUAUAUAUUGUGUUGUCUAUCUGUUUUCUUUGCACCGGUUCUAAGGUAAACUACUCACACUUCAUCGGAGAGGCUAUGGUGUUGAUGUAGAAGCCCUCCAUGAUCGAUGCCCCCUCCGGCGGAGCUCCGGAACAGGCCCCAAGAUGGGAUCUCGUGGGUACAGAAGGUUGCGGCGGUGGAAUUAGGUUUUUGGCUCCGUAUCUGAUCGUUUGGCGGUACGUAGGUAUAUAUAGGAGGAAGGAGUACGUCGGUGGAGCAACGUGGGGCUCACGAGGGUGGAGGGCGCGCCGGGGGGGGGUAGGCGCGCCCCCUACCUCGUGGCUUCCUACUUAGUUUCUUGACGUAGGGUCCAAGUCUCUUGGAUCAUGUUCGUUUCGAAAAUCACGUUCCGAAGGUUUCAUUCCGUUUGGACUCCGUUUGAUAUUCUUUUUCUAUGAAACUCUGAAAUAGGCAAAAAAAACAACAAUUCUGGGCUGGGCCUCCGGUUAAUAGGUUAGUCCCAAAAAUAAUAUAAAAGUGAAUAAUAAAGCCCAAUAAUGUCCAAAACAGAAGAUAAUAUAGCAUGGAGCAAUCAAAAAUUAUAGAUACGUUGGAGACGUACCAUGCCCUCAUCCUCUAUUACAUCUGUAUGCACCUUGGUAAGAAAUAUAUUGGUCUUGUAAAUAUCAUUGGGAAGUAUAUCUGCUUCUGUAUGUUCUUGCAAGCAUUAAAUGUUGCUAACAUUCUCACUAAAGAAUGUCCCUCCAGCACAUUCCUUUGAAAUGUGACCUUGAGUCAAGCUCCAAGAAGAUAUUCAACAGAUCUGCAUCUGCUCUGGAUGCUCAUGUACAAGAUACUAAGUUAUUGGUUGUGUUAUUCUGGUUGGUACUAUCUUAUAAACAUGUGGUGUAAUGAUACUGAUGGGACAAAUUUGAUGAAAUGUUGUGUUGUUUGUUCAUUCUGCUGUGUUAUUUUGUGAUCC
rnacentral:lncRNA from 1 species